GGAGGUCGCUUAGCAGACGUUUGUGAAUGUGCCUGAUCUGGGCCGCGCUCUACUCUCAAGUCCACCCUGCGGAAGGCUCGUAUCCGCCGUGCUCGGGGGCUGAAAACUGGUCAUGGAGAUUUUGAACCAUCAAUACAGCAGCCGACAACGGGUGUGUGGUCUUGACCAACUGCUGCAAAAGCCAAUCGUGUCUGGGCGGCACCUGCGCGAAGUGGAUGGCCGACUGGAGGCGGCGCCAGCUCCGCGUGCUGACGAGCUGAGCGUGACGAUACGCCGGACGCCGGGCGCUCCUCCAU